rnacentral:rRNA from 1 species
UACGAAGGGGGCUAGCGUUGCUCGGAAUCACUGGGCGUAAAGGGCGCAUAGGCGGUUCUUUAAGUCAGGCGUGAAAUUCCUGGGCUUAACCUGGGGGCUGCGCUUGAGACUGUGGGACUUGAGGUCAGAAGAGGGUCGUGGAAUUCCCAGUGUAGAGGUGAAAUUCGUGGAUAUUGGGAAGAACACCGGUGGCGAAGGCGGCGACCUGGUCUGAUACUGACGCUGAGGCGCGACAGCGUGGGGAGCAAACAGG